AGAACGAACGCUGGCGGCAUGCCUAACACAUGCAAGUCGAACGAGACCUUCGGGUCUAGUGGCGCACGGGUGCGUAACGCGUGGGAAUCUGCCCUGGGGUACGGAACAACAGUUAGAAAUGACUGCUAAUACCGUAUGAUGACGUAAGUCCAAAGAUUUAUCGCCCUGGGAUGAGCCCGCGUAGGAUUAGCUUGUUGGUGAGGUAAAGGCUCACCAAGGCGACGAUCCUUAGCUGGUCUGAGAGGAUGAUCAGCCACACUGGGACUGAGACACGGCCCAGACUCCUACGGGAGGCAGCAGUGGGGAAUAUUGGACAAUGGGCGAAAGCCUGAUCCAGCAAUGCCGCGUGAGUGAUGAAGGCCCUAGGGUUGUAAAGCUCUUUUACCCGGGAUGAUAAUGACAGUACCGGAGAAUAAGCCCCGGCUAACUCCGCGCCAGCAGCCGC
rnacentral:rRNA from 1 species